GACGAACGCUGGCGGCGUGCUUAACACAUGCAAGUCGAACGGAAAGGCCCUGCUUUGGUGGGGUGCUCGAGUGGCGAACGGGUGAGUAACACGGGAGUAACCUGCCCUUGACUUUGGGAUAACUUCAGGAAACUGGGGCUAAUACCGGAUAGGAGCUCCUGCUGCAUGGUGGGGGUGGGAAAGUUUCGGCGGUUGGGGAUGGACUCGCGGCUUAUCAGCUUGUUGGUGGGGUAGUGGCUUACCAAGGCUUUGACGGGUAGCCGGCCUGAGAGGGUGACCGGCCACAUUGGGACUGAGAUACGGCCCAGACUCCUACGGGAGGCAGCAGUGGGGAAUAUUGCACAAUGGGCGGAAGCCUGAUGCAGCAACGCCGCGUGCGGGAUGACGGCCUUCGGGUUGUAAACCGCUUUCGCCUGUGACGAAGCGUGAGUGACGGUAAUGGGUAAAGAAGCACCGGCUAACUACGUG
rnacentral:rRNA from 1 species